rnacentral:rRNA from 1 species
CCGGUGCUAAUACCGAAUAUUGAAACAUAAGUGGCAUCACUGAGUUUUGAAAGAAUUUCGGUGGAGGAUGACUUCGCGGCCUAUCAGCUAGUUGGUGAGGUAAUGGCUCACCAAGGCAACGACGGGUAGCCGGCCUGAGAGGGCGACCGGCCACACUGGGACUGAGACACGGCCCAGACUCCUACGGGAGGCAGCAGUGGGGAAUAUUGGGCAAUGGAGGAAACUCUGACCCAGCGACGCCGCGUGCGGGAUGAAGGCCUUCGGGUUGUAAACCGCUUUCAGUAGGGAAGAAGCGAAAGUGACGGUACCUACAAAAGAAGCACCGGCUAACUAUGUGCCAGCAGCCGCGGUAAUACAUAGGGUGCAAGCGUUGUCCGGAAUUAUUGGGCGUAAAGAGCUCGUAGGUCGUUUGUUACGUCGGAUGUGAAAACCUGAGGCUCAACCUCAGGCCUGCAUUCGAUACGGGCAAACUAGAGUUUGGUAGGGGAGACUGGAAUUCCUGGUGUAGCGGUGGAAUGCGCAGAUAUCAGGAGGAACACCAAUGGCGGAGGCAGGUCUCUGGGCCAAUACUGACACUGAGGAGCGAAAGUCUGGGGAGCGAACAGGAUUAGAUACCCUGGUAGUCCAGACCGUAAACGG